rnacentral:rRNA from 1 species
ACAAGCGGUGGAGCAUGUGGUUUAAUUCGAUGCAACGCGAAGAACCUUACCUGGUCUUGACAUCCACAGAACUUUCCAGAGAUGGAUUGGUGCCUUCGGGAACUGUGAGACAGGUGCUGCAUGGCUGUCGUCAGCUCGUGUUGUGAAAUGUUGGGUUAAGUCCCGCAACGAGCGCAACCCUUAUCCUUUGUUGCCAGCGGUUCGGCCGGGAACUCAAAGGAGACUGCCAGUGAUAAACUGGAGGAAGGUGGGGAUGACGUCAAGUCAUCAUGGCCCUUACGACCAGGGCUACACACGUGCUACAAUGGCAUAUACAAAGAGAAGCGACCUCGCGAGAGCAAGCGGACCUCAUAAAGUAUGUCGUAGUCCGGAUUGGAGUCUGCAACUCGACUCCAUGAAGUCGGAAUCGCUAGUA